rnacentral:lncRNA from 1 species
AGCUUUGCAUUUCUAUCUUUUGACCUUUCCUUUUCUAGGAAGGUAUCUGAAGCAUGACUAGAAGAAGUAUAUUAGUGUACAUAGUGAAUCAAAUUUCCUGCAGAUAAUCUUGAGAGACUAUGGUGAGCAUCCCAGCCAUCCUUGUUAAGAUCUGAGAGCCUUUCAGAGAGAGCAAGGCUCCCUGGGGACAGAAACAAAAGGCCUCCUUGUUUUAGCCUUCUUGCUUGUGAGGAGGACUUGUGAUUUCUGCCAAACUUGCCUCCAUUCAGUUAUCUUGUUAGAAGUAGAUCUUUUCUGGCCAAAAGUGUGUAUAUGGGGGCAGGGGAUAUUUUAUGAUUACCCAAUACCUCUCACUUGCUUUCCCCUAAGCGACCUAUAGUCUCAUUGCUUAACUCAAUAAUAAAGUUUUGCUGACACAGCCAAAGCUACCUUUUUGUGUGCUUGUGGUAGCUGUUUGGCUUUUCCCCCUUUUCCUUGUCUGGCCUCAGCCACCACCACAUGAUCCAAUUAGACUCAUAGCCACAGCAGUGGAAAAUCAGAUACUUGUGUAAAUGCACCCAGCAAACUGAAUUGAAUCGACCUAGUUCUGAAACCAUUCAUUCACUGGCAGGCUUAAGGAGCUCCUCAGUCCUUUGAGAAGAAAAUGGAGGGGAAAGGUUAGCAAAAGAAAAUAAUAGCAUCAGGCUAGUCAGUGAUCAUUGGCUUGCCAAGUGUAAUCUUUCUUUGGCAAUCUACUUCAGAAGAAGAGGUUAUUAACGUAUUUGCUUAUUUUGUAGCAGUUGGGAGAUCUUAAGGUGGAAGUAUGGUGCUAUUUAAUUCAUUCAAACAGAUUGGAAGAUGCUGAAGCUCCUAAAUUCUGGAGUGGCCAAGUAAAGACUCUCAAACCCGUAUAUCUUGGUCUGGAUUCAUUCUUAUUUUCUGUCCUGAAUGUCUGACUCAGAGGACCUCUCACUGUGUUAUCCUCCUGACAUCCCAUACUCUGAAAACCCAACUGGACACACUGUCCACACUUCAAGGCAGUGCUUGUCACUGUCACACUAUUAUUGUGAGUAGUCCUCACCUUUCAAACCUUGGACUUAUCAUUGGCCCUUUAUAGGAUGACAGUUGGUAUUGUGUACCACUUAUAUCCUGAAACUUUGUCCAAUUUACUUAUUACUUUCUGUAGUUUUUUAAUGAAUCAUUGUUUGUUCUAUAGAUUAAAUUAUUGAAUUAACGAAUUCUUUUCCUUCUGGCUUUGAACUCUGGAAUCUUUUCUUUUUCUUAGCUUAUCAAUCUUGAAAGAACUUAUAGUACAAUAUUUGGCAGGUGUGAUGAACACAGAUGUCUCUGUCUUGUCCCUACUCUUUGUUUUAGACUUUUAUCAGUAUAUGAUAUUACUUCUGGGAGUUUCUUUACUUUGUAAUCUCUGUUGAGUGUUUUUUCUCUCUCUCUUUUAUUCUUCCUUCACAUUUUACAUCCUAACUGCAGUUCCCCCUCCUUCCACUUUUCCCAGUCCUCUCUCCAGCUCCCCUCUGCCCCAGAUCCACUCCUCCCUUUUCCCUUCAAAUAACAGCAAGCUUCCCAGGUAUAUCAACCAAACACAGCAUACAAGUUACAAUAAGACCAGACACAUACCAUCAUAUCAAACCUGGAUGAGGCAACCCAGAAGGAAAAAAAGGGUCCCAAAGACAGGCAAAAGAGUUAGAGACAGCCUCACAACCCAAGGGAGGAGUCACACCCAGCUACAAAACACCCAGCUACAGAACCAUAACAUAUAUGCAGAAGACAUAGGUCAGACCCAUACAUUGUCCAUGACUGUCACCUCGGUCUCUGUGAUCCCAAUGAGACUGCUUAGUUUAUUCCAAGGGUCAUGUCCCUGUGGUAUCCUCAUGUGUUUUCUUAUUGUUAAUCAGUGUUUGAUUUCCUUAUCAUUUUAACAUCAGUAAAGAUGUGCAUAUAGUUUUCCAGCUGCUUCUGUUAAUGGUCGGGUUUGUUAUUCUUGAACCACCUUUGUGAUAAUCAUUUUCCAGCCUUAGUUUAUUAGUAGCCUAGGCUAUUAAUAAUUUCAUCAUGUUUGUUAUAAUGGUGGCCAGUUGCUUUCCUUUCCCGUGGUGGCCUUAUCUAGAUUUAGCCUCACACAAUGCUGCC